UACGGGGGGAGCAAGCGUUGUUCGGAUUUACUGGGCGUAAAGGGCGCGUAGGCGGCCACUGCAAGUCGGUUGUGAAAUCUCCGGGCUUAACCCGGAAAGGUCAAUCGAUACUGCAGGGCUAGAGUGCAGAAGGGGCAACUGGAAUUCUCGGUGUAGCGGUGAAAUGCGUAGAUAUCGAGAGGAACACCUGCGGCGAAGGCGGGUUGCUGGGCUGACACUGACGCUGGAGCGCGAAAGCUAGGGGAGCGAACGGG
rnacentral:rRNA from 1 species